rnacentral:rRNA from 1 species
GACGAACGCUGGCGGCGUGCUUAACACAUGCAAGUCGAGCGGUGAACCACCUUCGGGUGGGGAUCAGCGGCGAACGGGUGAGUAACACGUGGGCAACCUGCCCCUAGCACUGGGGAUAACCCCGGGAAACCGGGGCGUAAUACCGGAUAUGACUCCAAGCGGCAUCUCUUGGAGUGGAAAGAUUUAUCGGCUAGGGAUGGGCCCGCGGCCUAUCAGCUUGUUGGGUGGGGUAACGGCCUACCAAGGCGACGACGGGUAGCCGGCCUGAGAGGGCGACCGGCCACACUGGGACUGAGACACGGCCCA